GCCAGGCACAGUGGCACGUGCCUGUAGUCCCAGCUACUCAGGAGGCUGAGGCUGGAGGAUUGCUUGAGUCCAGGAGUUCUGGGCUGUAGUGCGCUAUGCAGGUGUCCACACUAAGUUUGGCAUCAAUAUGGUGACCUCCUGGGAGCGGGGGCCCACCAGGUUGCCUAAGGAGGGGUGAAGCAGCCUAGGUUGGAAAUGGAGCAGGUCAAAACUCCUGUGCUGAUCAGUAGUGGGAUCGAGCCUGUGAAUAGCCACUGCACUCCAGCCUGGGCAACAUAGCAAGACCCCGUCUCUA
ensembl:misc_RNA Metazoa_SRP Metazoan signal recognition particle RNA